CAUCAAGACAUCAAUUUGGGAAGUCAUACUGAAAAGAAGUAGAAACUUAUCCACCUGAGCAGAACCCUGAAAUUUGACAAAGAGACUCUGCUUGCCUCAAGCCAAGCAUAAUCUUUUAUCUCAGGACAGAAGACGCAAUUGUGACCUCACUUCGGAAUGAAUCUUCCCUCUCUGGAAUAAUGUCUCUCCCUGCCAUGAAUAAAAGCUUUCACCAAACAUGAGUUUCAUUCAACUUAGUGAAGACAGAAACAUGUGUUGUGUUUAGCUAUUAAGCUGAGUCAAGAUUUCCAAAGGUCACUUAAGAAAGUUGGAGCUGGAUUGGCCCCGGAUUUUACCAUAUCUAUGCAGAUCUGAUUUUCUGAAAAUGUGUUCUUAUUGAGAGGAAAUGGCACAUAAACUAUCAUGUCUACUAAAUCUGGUAGACUAGUAAAAUAAUAGUUUUCUUUUUACUGGUAUAAUAGCUACCUUGCAGUUUCUAGUUUCUUCUCUUUCUCUCUCUGAUUCUUGGCUACUUUAUCAUUAUGUCAAUUAUUACAUGACAAGAAAUGUGGAUAGCAUAAAUCUAGAAGUGUGCAAACAUUAUUGACGUGUUUUAAUAUUAAAAGAUACAACUAUGAUAAUAAAUGAUUUCCGAUUAUUGUGCUUACUAUCAUUUUUCCACAAAAGGGAAAACAUA